CCUACGGGAGGCAGCAGUGAGGAAUAUUGGUCAAUGGCCGCAGGGCUGAACCAGCCAAGUCGCGUGAGGGAUGACGGUCCUAUGGAUUGUAAACCUCUUUUGUCAGGGAGCAAAGGGCGCCACGUGUGGCGUUUUGCGAGUACCUGAAGAAAAAGCAUCGGCUAACUCCGUGCCCGCAGCCGCGGUAAUACGGAGGAUGCGAGCGUUAUCCGGAUUUAUUGGGUUUAAAGGGUGCGCAGGCGGAAGGUCAAGUCAGCGGUAAAAUUUCGGGGCUCAACCCCGGCCUGCCGUCGGAACUGGGUGCCUUGAGUGGGCGAGAAGUAUGCGGAAUGCGUGGUGUAGCGGUGAAAUGCAUAGAUAUCACGCAGAACCCCGAUUGCGAAGGCAGCAUACCGGCGCCCUACUGACGCUGAGGCACGAAAGUGCGGGUAUCGAACAGGAUUAGAUACCCUUGUAGUC
rnacentral:rRNA from 1 species